rnacentral:rRNA from 1 species
UACGGGGGGGCGAAGCGUUGUUCGGAAUUACUGGGCGUAAAGGGCUCGUAGGCGGCCAACGUAAGUCGGAUGUGAAAUCCCCAGGCUCAACCUGGGAACUGCAUCCGAUACUGGAUGGCUUGAAUCCGGGAGAGGGAUGCAGAAUUCCAGGUGUAGCGGUGAAAUGACGUAGAUAUCUGGAGGAACACCGGUGGCGAAGGCGGCAUCCGUGGA